rnacentral:ncRNA from 2 species
UACUAUCAGCGCCAAGCUGGUGUGAUUUAGCUGCCUAGAUGGCUAAAUGACUGAAAAGGGAAUCUGGUGGGAAUCCAGAACUGACGCGCAGCGGUAAGAGAGAACGAACACUCAGUGACACUGCGAUCGCGGGAAGUCGAGUUAGUAGGAGACAGUGCUCUCAAGUCCGAAGACCUGCCAGCGGCUGAGCGAAGAA